rnacentral:misc_RNA from 1 species
ACAAACGCCGCAUCGUACACAGACAUCUUUUUCAGUAAUCAAAAUCACUUCAGUGCAUCUGUAUUUCCAAUAACUUCAGUUAUAUUACUACGUAUUACUAUUUUAUGAGUAAAACUAACAAAAUGGAAUACUGAAUGAGUACGGUUUCGUUUCCCGGCGAUAUUCUGGUCGGAUUCUUGAUUUUAAUGGUGGGGCAAUGGGUUUAUCGGCAGAAUAGUGUAAACUUUGAAAUGGGGUUUUUCCGGUGGAAUUCUUGAUUUUCCGGUGACUAUAGACAGAGAGAAGUGGGCAGAGAGAGAGAGAGAGAGA